rnacentral:rRNA from 1 species
CCUACGGGAGGCAGCAGUCGAGAAUCAUUCACAAUGGGGGAAACCCUGAUGGAGCGACGCCGCGUGGGGGAAUGAAGGUCUGCGGAUUGUAAACCCCUGUCAUGUGGGAGCAAAUUAAAAAGAUAGUACCACAAGAGGAAGAGACGGCGAACUCUGUGCCAGCAGCCGCGGUAAUACAGAGGGCUCAAGCGUUGUUCGGAACCACGGGGCGGAAAGCGUGCGGAGGCUGUUUCGUAAGUCGUGUGUGAAAGGCGCGGGCUCAACCCGCGGACGGCACAUGAUACUGCGAGACUAGAGUAAUGGAGGGGGAACCGGAAUUCUCGGUGUAGCCGU